rnacentral:rRNA from 1 species
UACGUAGGGGGCAAGCGUUGUCCGGAAUCAUUGGGCGUAAAGGGCGCGUAGGCGGCCCUGUAAGUCCGCUGUGAAAGUCAAGGGCUCAACCCUUGGAUGCCGGUGGAUACUGCAGGGCUAGAGUCCGGAAGAGGCGAGUGGAAUUCCUGGUGUAGCGGUGAAAUGCGCAGAUAUCAGGAGGAACACCGAUGGCGAAGGCAGCUCGCUGGGACGGUACUGACGCUGAGGCGCGAAAGCGUGGGGAGCAAACAGG